CCUACGGGAGGCAGCAGUGAGGAAUAUUGGUCAAUGGACGAGAGUCUGAACCAGCCAAGUAGCGUGAAGGAUGACUGCCCUAUGGGUUGUAAACUUCUUUUAUAAAGGAAUAAAACGAGGCACGUGUGCCUUUUUGCAUGUACUUUAUGAUUAAGGAUCGGCUAACUCCGUGCCAGCAGCCGCGGUAAUACGGAGGAUCCGAUCGUUAUCCGGAUUUAUUGGGUUUAAAGGGAGCGUAGAUGGGUUGUUACGUCAGUUGUGAAAGUUUGCGGCUCAACCGUAAAAUUGCAAUUGAUACUGGCAGUCGUGAGUACAGUUGAGGUAGGCGGAAUUCGUGGUGUAGCGGUGAAAUGCUGAGAUAUCACGAAGAACCCCGAUUGCGAAGGCAGCUUACUAAACUGUGACUGACAUUGAUGCUCGAAAGUGUGGGUAUCAAACAGGAUUAGAUACCCUAGUAGUC
rnacentral:rRNA from 1 species